rnacentral:lncRNA from 1 species
CGGCGGGCGUCGUGCUUCGGGCCAGAGCUGAGAAGCGCUGGCGGCCGCCGGGCCGUGAGGUGGGCUCCGUGGGCGGCGCGGAGCUCGGUUCUGCGGGAAGUGUCUUGACAGCCCGGGGCUGACCGCCCGACCCGUGGCGCCGGGCCCUGUCCCACCGCACAAAGCUGCGUGCCUCGAAGCCGCCCUCCGUCCGGCUCUGCACUCCCGA